AGAGUUUGAUCCUGGCUCAGAAUCAACGCUGGCGGCGCGCUUAACACAUGCAAGUCGCACGAGAAAGUGGAGCAAUCCAUGAGUAAAGUGGCGUACGGGUGAGUAACACGUGGGUAAUCUACCUCUUAGUGGGGAAUAACCCUGGGAAACCGGGGCUAAUACCGCAUAAGCUCGAGAGAGGAAAGCAGCAAUGCGCUGAGAGAGGAGCCCGCGGCCGAUUAGCUAGUUGGUAGGGUAAGAGCCUACCAAGGCAGAGAUCGGUAGCCGGCCUGAGAGGGCACACGGCCACACUGGCACUGAAACACGGGCCAGACUCCUACGGGAGGCAGCAGUGGGGAAUCUUGCACAAUGGGGGAAACCCUGAUGCAGCGACGCCGCGUGAGCGAUGAAGCCCUUCGGGGUGUAAAGCUCUUUCGGCAGGGAAGAUUAUGACGGUACCUGCAGAAGCAGCUGCGGCUAACUACGUGCCAGCAGCCGCGGUAAUACGUAGGCAGCGAGCGUUGUUCGGAGUUACUGGGCGUAAAGGGUGUGUAGGCGGUUCUUUAAGUUUGGUGUGAAAUCUCCCGGCUCAACCGGGAGGGUGCGCCGAAUACUGAGGGACUAGAGUGCGGGAGAGGAAAGUGGAAUUCCUGGUGUAGCGGUGAAAUGCGUAGAUAUCAGGAGGAACACCGGUGGUGUAGACGGCUUUCUGGACCGUAACUGACGCUGAGACACGAAAGCGUGGGUAGCAAACAGGAUUAGAUACCCUAGUAGUCC
rnacentral:rRNA from 1 species